rnacentral:rRNA from 11 species
ACUAACACAUAUGGUACUCUAAAAGCACCAGAUCCCUUCUACUCUUGGAAGCAAAUCUGGGCCAGCUCUUGCUAACAGUCCGAUGGGAGACCACCAAUUAAUGCCAGCUGGCUUUAUUU